ACAAACUUGGUCAUUUAGAGGAAGUAAAAGUCGUAACAAGGUUUCCGUAGGUGAACCUGCGGAAGGAUCAUUAAUGAACGAAUGUAGAGUCGGUUGUAGCUGGUCCCCUCGGGACAUGUGCACGCCUUCUCUUUCAUCCACACACCCCUGUGCACUCGUGAGACGGAGGCUUGCAAAGGUCUCCGUCUGUCUCACAUAAAAUCAUAUUUAUUUAAAUCUGAAUGUAAUCGAUGUAACGCAUCUAAUACAAAGUUUCAACAACGGAUCUCUUGGCUCUCGCAUCGAUGAAGAACGCAGC
rnacentral:misc_RNA from 1 species